CCCUUAGAUGUUCUGGGCCGCACGCGUGCUACACUGAUGCAUUCAACGAGUCUAAAACCUGGUCUGAUAGGGCUGGGUAAUCUUUUGAAAGUGCAUCGUGAUUGGGAUAGAUGAUUGCAAUUCUUCAUCUUCAACGAGGAAUGCCUAGUAAACGCAAGUCAUCAGCUUGCAUUGAUUACGUCCCUGCCCUUUGUACACACCGCCCGUCGCUCCUACCGAUUGAAUGAUCCGAUGAAUACCAUGGAUUGAGAGUACGAAUAGGUUCGCUUAUUUCUGCUGCUCGAGAAGUGGAGUAAAUCUUAUCAUUUAAAGGAAGGAGAAGUCGUAACA
rnacentral:rRNA from 1 species